rnacentral:rRNA from 1 species
AACGAACGCUGGCGGCAUGCCUAACACAUGCAAGUCGAACGAGACCUUCGGGUCUAGUUGCGCACGGGUGCGUAACGCGUGGGAACCUGCCCUUAGGUUCGGAAUAACUCCCCGAAAGGGGUGCUAAUACCGGAUAAUUUCUUCGGACCAAAGAUUUAUCGCCUUUGGAUGGGCCCGCGUUGGAUUAGCUAGUUGGUAGGGUAAAAGCCUACCAAGGCGACGAUCCAUAGCUGGUCUGAGAGGAUGAUCAGCCACACUGGGACUGAGACACGGCCCAGACUCCUACGGGAGGCAGCAGUGGGGAAUAUUGGACAAUGGGCGAAAGCAUGAUCCAGCAAUGCCGCGUGAGUGAUGAAGGCCUUAGGGUUGUAAAGCUCUUUUACCCGGGAUGAUAAUGACAGUACCGGGAGAAUAAGCUCCGGCUAACUCCGUG